rnacentral:rRNA from 1 species
CAGCAGCCACGGGAAUACGAAGGGUGCAAGCGUUACUCGGAAUUACUGGGCGUAAAGCGUGCGUAGGUGGUGGUUUAAGUCCGUUGUGAAAGCCCUGGGCUCAACCUGGGAAUUGCAGUGGAUACUGGGUCACUAGAGUGUGGUAGAGGAUAGUGGAAUUUCCGGUGUAGCAGUGAAAUGCGUAGAGAUCGGAAGGAACAUCUGUGGCGAAGGCGACUAUCUGGGCCAACACUGACACUGAGGCACGAAAGCGUGGGGAGCAAACAGGAUUAGAGACCCCCGUAGUCCCUGUCUCUUAUAC